AUUAGGCCCUUUCGAAGCUGGGUAUAUCUCUUGCUGAACAUAUCUAGUCAAAGUAAGGCCUAUAGUAAUUUCUACAAUGGUCACUGGUGAAUAUUUUAAUUAUUUUCACAGUAUUACCCAAGUAGAAUACAUCU